rnacentral:rRNA from 1 species
UUGACCUCGAAUCAGGUAGGAAUACCCGCUGAACUUAAGCAUAUCAAUAAGCGGAGGAAAAGAAACCAACCGGGAUUACCUCAGUAACGGCGAGUGAAGCGGUAACAGCUCAAAUUUGAAAUCUGGCUCCUCUGGAGUCCGAGUUGUAAUUUGUAGAAGAUGCUUUGGGUUGUGGGUUCGGCCUAAGUUCCUUGGAACAGGACGUCAUAGAGGGUGAGAAUCCCGUAUGUGGCCGAGGCCCGCGCCUAUGUAAAGCUCUUUCAACGAGUCGAGUUGUUUGGGAAUGCAGCUCAAAAUGGGUGGUAAAUUUCAUCUAAAGCUAAAUAUGGGCCAGAGACCGAUAGCGCACAAGUAGAGUGAUCGAAAGAUGAAAAGCACUUUGGAAAGAGAGUUAAACAGUACGUGAAAUUGUUGAAAGGGAAGCGCUUGCACCCAGACUUGGGCGCUGCUGAUCAUCUUGCGGUCUCCGCGAGUGCACUCGACAGCGCACAGGCCAGCAUCGGUUCGGGUGGCUGGAUAAAGGCCGUAGGAACGUAGCUCCCUUCGGGGAGUGUUAUAGCCUACGGUGCCAUGCAGCCCAGCCGGACCGAGGACCGCGCCUUCGGGCUAGGAUGCUGGCGUAAUGGGUGUAAGCGACCCGUCUUGAAACACGGACCAAGGAGUCUAACAUCUAUGCGAGUGUUUGGGUGGUAAACCCAUACGCGGAAUGAAAGUGAACGUAGGUGAGAACCCCUUUGGGGCGCAUCAUCGACCGAUCCUGAUGUCUUCGGAUGGAUUUGAGUAAGAGCAUAGC